UACGGGGGGAGCAAGCGUUGUUCGGAUUUACUGGGCGUAAAGGGCGCGUAGGCGGCACCGCAAGUCGACUGUGAAAUCUCCGGGCUUAACCCGGAAAGGUCAGCCGAUACUGCGGGGCUAGAGUGCAGAAGGGGCAACUGGAAUUCUCGGUGUAGCGGUGAAAUGCGUAGAUAUCGAGAGGAACACCUGCGGCGAAGGCGGGUUGCUGGGCUGACACCGACGCUGAUGCGCGAAAGCUAGGGGAGCGAACGGG
rnacentral:rRNA from 1 species